GGGUAACCUGCCUCACACAGGGGGAUAACAGUCAGAAAUGACUGCUAAUACCGCAUAAGACCACAGCAUCGCAUGAUGCAGAGGUAAAAACUCCGGUGGUGUGAGAUGGACCCGCGUCUGAUUAGCUGGUUGGUAGGGUAAAGGCCUACCAAGGCGACGAUCAGUAGCCGACCUGAGAGGGUGACCGGCCACAUUGGGACUGAGACACGGCCCAAACUCCUACGGGAGGCAGCAGUGGGGAAUAUUGCACAAUGGGCGAAAGCCUGAUGCAGCGACGCCGCGUGAGUGAAGAAGUAUUUCGGUAUGUAAAGCUCUAUCAGCAGGGAAGAAAAUGACGGUACCUGACUAAGAAGCCCCGGCUAACUACGUGCCAGCAGCCGCGGUAAUACGUAGGGGGCAAGCGUUAUCCGGAUUUACUGGGUGUAAAGGGAGCGUAGACGGCAAUGCAAGUCUGGAGUGAAAACCCAGGGCUCAACCCUGGGACUGCUUUGGAAACUGCGUAGCUGGAGUGUUGGAGAGGUAAGUGGAAUUCCUAGU
rnacentral:rRNA from 1 species